CACGUGACGUUGCUUGUGGUGACGUAGUUAAGCACGCGCGACUGUCACUGGCUCUGAUCUCUCUUCCUUUACUAAGGUGAAAAUGGCUCCUCCAGUCCAGGUAUCUGCACUGAUCAAGACCGCAAGAUGGUCUGCCUUGCUCGUUGGCAUGGUGUACGGCAAAACGCGAUAUGACUAUCUGAAGCCCAUUGCUGCAGAGGAGAGACGGGUGGAGGAAGCUGAGAAGAAGUACAGAGAGGAGCAGGAACGCAUCUACAAACAGCUCGCUGAAGCCAACUCGGACACCAUUCUGAAAUGAGUCACUGCACAGAUGUCUUUUGUUCUCGUCAAUAAAAACGCCAACAAACACCA